rfam:Gossypium raimondii Chr11_contig_340, whole genome shotgun sequence.
UGUUAAAAUUUUCAUCUAUUUGUUCCGUUAAAAAUUGGCAUGUUUGACAGAAUAACCAAAUAGGGACAUAUUGUGUGCCACAUGUACAUCAUGUCAAUGUACAAGGACGAGUUUUUAACAAUAGAAAUUGAUGAAAUUUUUAAUU